rnacentral:rRNA from 1 species
CCUACGGGUGGCUGCAGUGGGGAAUAUUGGACAAUGGGGGAAACCCUGAUCCAGCCAUGCCGCGUGAGUGAUGAAGGCUUUAGGGUUGUAAAGCUCUUUCGCCGAUGAAGAUAAUGACGGUAGUCGGAGAAGAAGCCCCGGCUAACUUCGUGCCAGCAGCCGCGGUAAUACGAAGGGGGCUAGCGUUGUUCGGAAUUACUGGGCGUAAAGCGCGCGUAGGUUGCUUAGCAAGUCAGGGGUGAAAUCCCGGAGCUUAACUCCGGAACUGCCUUUGA